rnacentral:misc_RNA from 1 species
AACCCUCUCAUUCUAAUUUCUUCAUUUUUGAAGACGUUGGUAAUGGAUGUUGAGCGUUGCCGUGUUGAAUGGCUCGCUUUAAAUAUAUAAGUACGUCUAUUGAUAAGUAAAUGGAGCAAAAACUUGAUGUGAUAAUUAUCAUUCAUUGAGGAAUGUUGGAGUAGUAAAAUACUUUGACGGCCAUUUGACCUUUAAUAAAUAGCUUCCUAACCCUAUUCAUUUUGAACU